CACGUAGGGUGCGAGCGUUGUCCGGAAUUAUUGGGCGUAAAGAGCUCGUAGGCGGUGUGUCGCGUCGGCCGUGAAAACUUGCAGCUUAACUGUGGGCGUGCGGUCGAUACGGGCAUCACUGGAGUUCGGCAGGGGAGACUGGAAUUCCUGGUGUAGCGGUGAAAUGCGCAGAUAUCAGGAGGAACACCGGUGGCGAAGGCGGUUCUCUGGGCAUGACCUGACGCUGAGGAGCGAAAGUGUGGGGAGCGAACAGG
rnacentral:rRNA from 1 species